UGACGUUCACCCCUCAACUCAGGGGCGCAGAUCACCAGGCCAAGGAACGGGGACCUGGA
ncrna:Synechococcus sp. CC9605 Glutamine-II riboswitch (downstream peptide RNA)